GAUGAACGCUGGCGGCGUGCCUAAUACAUGCGAGUCGAGCGAACAGACGAGGAGCUUGCUCCUCUGACGUUAGCGGCGGACGGGUGAGUAACACGUGGAUAACCUACCUAUAAGACGGGGAUAACUUCGGGAAACCGGAGCUAAUACCGGAUAAUAUAUUGAACCGCAUGGUUCAAUAGUGAAAGACGGUUUUGCUGUCACUUAUAGAUGGAUCCGCGCCGCAUUAGCUAGUUGGUAAGUUAACGGCUUACCAAGGCAACGAUGCGUAGCCGACCUGAGAGGGUGGUAGGCCACACUGGAACUGGACCACGGUCCAGACUCCUACGGGAGGCAGCAGUAGGGAAUCUUCCGCAGUGGGCGAAAGCCUGACGGAGCAACGCCGCGUGAGUGAUGAAGGUCUUCGGAUCGUAAAACUCUGUUAUUAGGGAAGAACAAAUGUGUAAGUAACUAUGCACGUCUUGACGGUACCUAAUCAGAAAGCCACGGCUAACUACGUG
rnacentral:rRNA from 1 species